rfam:Homo sapiens chromosome 15, GRCh38 reference primary assembly.
GCCGGGCAUGGUGGCGCAUGCCUGUAAGUCCCAGCUACUUGGGAGGCUGAGGCAGGAGAAUCGCUUGAACCAGGGAGGCAGAGGUUGCAGUGAGCUGAGAUCCAGCCACUGUACUUCAGGCUGGGUUACAGAGCGAGACUCUGUCUCAA